rnacentral:rRNA from 1 species
UACGGAGGGUGCAAGCGUUAUCCGGAUUUACUGGGUUUAAAGGGUGCGUAGGUGGGCAGGUAAGUCAGUGGUGAAAUCUCCGGGCUUAACCCGGAAACUGCCAUUGAUACUAUCUGUCUUGAAUAUCCUGGAGGUGAGCGGAAUAUGUCAUGUAGCGGUGAAAUGCUUAGAUAUGACAUAGAACACCUAUUGCGAAGGCAGCUCGCUACACUGUCAUUGACACUGAGGCACGAAAGCGUGGGGAUCAAACAGG